rnacentral:rRNA from 1 species
AUGAACGCUGGCGGUAUGCUUAACACAUGCAAGUCGAACGGACUCUUCGGAGUUAGUGGCGGACGGGUGAGUAACGCGUGAGAAUCUGGCUUUGGGUUCGGGACAACCACUGGAAACGGUGGCUAAUACCGGAUGUGCCGAGAGGUAAAAGAGAAAUUGCCUGAAGAUGAGCUCGCGUCUGAUUAGCUAGUUGGUGAGGUAAAGGCUCACCAAGGCAGCGAUCAGUAGCUGGUCUGAGAGGAGGACCAGCCACACUGGGACUGAGACACGGCCCAGACUCCUACGGGGGGCAGCAGGGGGGAAUUUUCCGCAAUGGGCGAAAGCCUGACGGAGCAAUACCGCGGGAGGGAAGAAGGCUUUUGGGUUGUAAACCUUUUUUUUUAGGGAAGAAAAAAAUGACGGUACCAAAGGAAUCAGCACCGGCUAACCCCGU